GAAAUGCUAUAAGUAGUGUGAAUUGCAGAAUUCAGUGAAUCAUCGAAUCUUUGAACGCACAUUGCGCCCCUUGGUCUUCCAUGGGGCAUGCCUGUUCGAGCGUCAUUUGUACCCUCAAGCUCUGCUUGGUGUUGGGUGUUUGUCCCGUCUCCGCGCGUGGACUCGCCCCAAAGUGAUUGGCAGCCGGCGUACUGGUCCCGGAGCGCAGCACAUGUCGCGCAAACGAGUGCCUUGGUACGGCGGCGUCCAUAAGCCCCUCUCUCACGCUCUUGACCUCGGAUCAGGUAGGGAUACCCGCUGAACUUAAGC
rnacentral:misc_RNA from 1 species